GUAAUUUUAAGUCAAUAAAACAAAUUUCAAGCAUGUGGAACCAUUGUCCAUGAUUGAAUCACAUUCAGCCAAAGAGUAAUUUUUUGAGAGUGAGUGUAUGUGAGCCCUUCACAAUGUGAAAAAGAAAAGGUGAAAUAAAAGGCAUGCACAGCUGAAAACAACUCACUUCACAACUCACUUUUGGCGCCCCUCUGUGGACAUUACACCCGGAAAAUGGAGCGCACAUGUGCC